CAGUCGCCGCGGGAAUACGUAGGGUGCGAGCGUUGUCCGGAAUUAUUGGGCGUAAAGAGCUUGUAGGCGGUCUGUCGCGUCUGCUGUGAAAACCCGAGGCUCAACCUCGGGCCUGCAGUGGGUACGGGCAGACUAGAGUGCGGUAGGGGAGAACGGAACUCCUGGUGUAGCGGUGGAAUGCGCAGAUAUCAGGAAGUACACCGAUGGCGAAGGCAGUUCUCUGGGCCGUAACUGACGCUGAGAAGCGAAAGCGUGGGGAGCGAACAGGAUUAGAUACCCCCGUAGUCCCUGUCUCUUAUAC
rnacentral:rRNA from 1 species